ensembl:lncRNA
CGAAAACAUGGGUAUUUUCUUUUAGUUCGUCCGUAAACUUACAUUUACGUUUCGGCAUGGCUGCAGAUGUGCUGUAAACAAUGCAACUAGUGGAGGCGGCAAAGUGCUCAGUGUUGCCAGAUUGGAAAUGGUGAAGUAUCGUACCAAAGGCUCAAAAUGGUCGUAUUUGGAGGAUCAUUAUCGUGUAUCUGGCAACAUUGAGAUCGGUCGACCAAUGACUGUUCUCUCUACAGUCAGAGCUCGCGAAAGAAGGUGGAACGUAAGGGAGACACCAUUUCCAAAACUUAAAGCAACCAUGUAAUGCCUCAGGAGUCUGUAGAGGGGACGAAGACGCGUUCUGCUGCACUUAACAGAGCUCAAGACCAACAGGACGCAAUCAGGACGCCACGUCAUCGGGACGCUACGUCAACGGGACGCCAUCAGGAUGCCAUCAGGACGCCAUCAGGACGCCCUCAGGACGCCAUCAGGACGCCACGUCAACGGGACGCCAUCAGGACGUCACCAAAUCCAGAUCUACGCAUGACACACACACACACACACACACACACAGAUGUACUCAGAGACACACUAACAUUUGGUUCUAAAAAAGACACACACUAACAUUUAGAUGUACACAAAGACACAUUAAUAUUUUGAUGUACACACAGACACACUAACAAUUAGUUGUACACACAGACACACUAACAAUUCGAUAUUCACACAGACACACUAACAAUUAGAUGUACACACAUACACACUAACAUUUGGUUCUAAACAAAGACACUUACUAACAUUUAGAUGUACACAAAUACACAUUAAUAUGUAGAUGUACACACAGACACACUAACAUUUAGAUGUACACAAAGACACAUUAAUAUUUAGAUGUACACACAGACACACUAACAUCUGGUUCUAAACAAAGACACACACUAAUAUUUAGAUGUACACAAAGACAUAUUAAUAUUUAGAUCUACACACAGACACACUGACAAUUCGAUGUUCACACAGACACACUAACAAUUCGAUGUACACACAGACACAUUAGUAUUCAGAAGUACACAAAAACACACAAACAUCUGGUUCUGCACAAAGACACAUUAAUAUUUAAAUGUACACACAGACCCACUAACAAUUAGAUGUACACACAGACACAUCCUGAUGAUCCUCCUCACGUCUCUUCUCCUUGUCUGCAGACCAACAGGACGCCAUCAGGACGCCAUCAGGACGCCACGUCAACGGGACGCCAUCAGGACGCCGUCAGGACUCCAUCAAGACGUCAUGUCAACCCCUCAGGAGCAAAUCCAGAUCUACGCAUGACACACACACACACCCACACUCACACACACAGAUCUACUCAGAGACACAAUAUACCAACAGGACGCCAUCAGGACGCCAUCAGGACGCCACGUCAACGGGACGCCAUCAGGACGCCGUCAGGACUCCAUCAAGACGUCAUGUCAACCCCUCAGGAGCAAAUCCAGAUCUACGCAUGACACACACACACACCCACACUCACACACACAGAUCUACUCAGAGACACAAUAUGUAGAUGUACACACAGACACACUAACAUUUGGUUCUAAACAAAGACACA